UUUUUGUUUGUGUGCCUUUUGGGGAUUUUGGGGUUUUUUUUUUUUUGCAUGUUUGUUUGGUUUUGAGACAACAUCUGGCUCUGUUGCCCAUGCUGGGGUGCAUUGGUGCGAUCUGGCUCCCUGUAACCUCCACCUCCCACCUCAGCCUCCUAAAGAAAUGAAUACAGGCGUGGACCACCACACCGGACUAACUUUUGUAUUUUUUGUACACACAGGGUUUACCGUGUUUCCCAGGCUGGACUGGAACUCCUGAGCUCAAGUGAUCCUCCCGACUUGACAAGUGCUGGGGUUAGAGGUAUGAGCCGCCAUGACCCACCGUACUUGAAUUUUUUGUAUCCAGAUGUUAUCGAGGAGCUUUUAUGGCCUAAACUGUGGACUAUCCUGGAGGAUGUUUGUGUGUGAGACAAUGUAUGUUCUCGAACAUCAUAGAUUCCAUUUUGGAUGCUCCCUUCGUGACUGUGUGCUCCUGUCCUGGAACUCAAGUGAACACUUGGCUCUCCAUCCAUUGCUGUUCUCUAGAAAUCCAGCUCAAUUCUCUUGGUUAAAGAUAAGAUUCCAUUUUGGAUGCUCCCUUCGUGACUGUGUGUCCCUGUCCUGGAACUCAAGUGAACACUUGGCUCUCCAUCCAUUGCUGUUCUCUAGAAAUCCAGCUCAAUUCUCUUGGUUAAAGAUAAGGCUGAAGUCCGUAAGCACUUCCAACCUAGGUCUCUUGUGCUCCAAUGGUCCUCCUUUUUGGGACAGAAUCCUGCUCUGUGACCCAGGCUAGAGUGCAGUGGCGCGAUCUCGGCUCACGGCAACCUCCGCCUCCCGGAGCAAUUCUCCUGCCUCAGCUUCGUGAGUAGCUGGGAUUACAGGCACCCAACAUCAUGUUUGGCUAACAUUUGUGUUUUUCUUUUUUAUUCAUUUAUUUAUUUACUUUUCAGAUGGAGUCUCGCUGUCAACCAGGCUGGAGGGCAGUGGCGUGAUCCCGGCUGACUCCAACCUCUGCCUGUCGUGGUCAAGCAAUUCUCCUGCCUCAGCCUCCGGAGUAGCUGGAAUGACAGGAACACACCACCAUGCCCAGCUACUUUUUGUAUUUUUUUUUUCAUUUUUCAUUUUUUUUUUUUUAAGUAAACAGGGGGUUUCACCAUGUUGUCCAGGCUAGUCCGAAACCCCUGACCUUAAGUGAGCCACCGUGUGUGGCCGUCACCACCUUUCACUUUAUGGAAAUUUUUCUGAACCUCACGUGGGGUCAGGUGGAGUUGAAGGGACUUCAGUGUCCCCUGCAGAUGGGAUGUGCAUGGCUCAGCAGGAGCACGGAGGUGGAGUGCAUGGGGCUUCAGUGUUUAUUGGGGAAAUGAAGCUGAAAUCUUGGGUGCAUGACCAGGAGAUAAAUGCAUGAGAUGGGGUCUCACUAUGCUGCCCAGGCUAAAGUGGGCUUAGAUCCUCCUGCGUCUGCCCCUCGCCGGCCUUAGUAGCUGGGACUACAUGUGAAUAUUAUUAACCUAUGCACAGGAAGAGGAAAGUACGGACUGUUCUUCGAUUCAUGCCCCACCCCCAGUUACAUUUGUAUUUUAGAUGAACCAUGUGUUUGAGAUGCACUUGAAGAACAAAUGAUUUGCUGUUUAGAUGUGAGCAUCCUUUUUUGCUCCUGAUUUAAAUACAGGACAAGGCCGGGUACGGUGGUUCACGCCUGUAAUCUCAUCAUUUGGGUAGGCAGAGACAGGAGGAUCACCUGAGGUCAAUUGCUUGAGACCAGCCUGGCCAACACGGUGAAAUCCCAUCUGUACUAAAAAUACAAAAUUUAGCCAUUCUAAAUUUGUGCUGUUGUUGUGCUGCACGCCUGUAAUCCCAGCUACUCAGGAGGAUGAGGCAGGAGAAUCGCUUGAAGCUGUGAGGCAGAGGUUGCGGUGAGCUGAGAUCGCACAAGUGAACUCCAGCCUGGGCAAAAGAAUAAGAUUCAAUCUCAAAAAAAAUGAAAAACAGACCGGGCGCGGUGGCGCACGCCUGUAAUCCCAGCACUUUGGGAGGUUGAGACGGGCGGAUCACCUCAGGUCUGCCGCGGCAUCGUGGCAAAACCUCAUCUCUACUAAAAAUACAAAAAUUAGCCAGGUGCGAUGACAGGUGCCUGUAAUGCCAGCUACUCAGGAGGGCCAAGGCAGGAGAAUCACUGGAACUGGGCGGCAGAGGUUGCAGUGAGCCAAGAUCGUACCACUGCACUCCAGCCUGUCGACAGAAUAAGACUUGGUCUAAAAAAAAAAAUACUUUUUUUAAUUAAGAAAAAACAAGAUAAAUAUGGGACCAUCAUGAAUUUGGUUGUCACCUUUGUGCAGGGGUCAUGGUAAUCUCUGUC
ensembl:lncRNA